rnacentral:rRNA from 1 species
UACGUAGGAGGCAAGCGUUGUCCGGAAUCAUUGGGCGUAAAGAGCGUGUAGGCGGUCCGGUCAGUCGGUUGUGAAAGUCAAGGGCUCAACCCUUGAAUGCCGGCCGAUACUGCCGGGCUAGAGUCCGGAAGAGGUGAGUGGAAUUCCUGGUGUAGCGGUGAAAUGCGCAGAGAUCAGGAGGAACACCCGUAGCGAAGGCGGCACUCUGGGCCGAUACUGACACUGAGGAGCGAAAGCGUGGGGAGCGAACAGG